GAUGAGCGCUAGCGGCAGGCCUAACACAUGCAAGUCGAGGGGUAGCAGGAUUAAGCUUGCUUAAUUGCUGACGACCGGCGCACGGGUGCGUAACGCGUAUGCAACCUACCUUAUACUGGGGUAUAGCCCGGAGAAAUUCGGAUUAAUCCCCCAUAGUACUAAUGAAUCGCAUGGUUUAUUAGUUAAAGCAUUGCGGUAUAAGAUGGGCAUGCGUCCUAUUAGCUAGAUGGUGAGGUAACGGCUCACCAUGGCUACGAUAGGUAGGGGUCCUGAGAGGGUGGUCCCCCACACUGGUACUGAGACACGGACCAGACUCCUACGGGAGGCAGCAGUGAGGAAUAUUGGUCAAUGGGCGCAAGCCUGAACCAGCCAUGCCGCGUGCAGGAAGAAUGCCCUAUGGGUUGUAAACUGCUUUUAUUUGGGAAUAAACCUCUUUACGUGUAGAGAGCUGAAGGUACCAAAUGAAUAAGCACCGGCUAACUCCGUGCCAGCCGCCGCGGUAA
rnacentral:rRNA from 1 species